CUAUAGGUUUCAGAUACAAUGGACUGUCUGUGGUCUACCUCGUCUUUCUCCUGCUUCUGCCACUCUGCCCAAAACCGAAUGCUGUCACAAUGAAAGGUAGGUAGCUAAUAUGUUCCAAAACCAUCAAUUUUGCUAGGGGUAGCAGCAAUCAUGUUAGCUAGUAAUGAAGCAGAACAUAUAAGUUGCAUGAACUGCUAAGCUGAUUAUGCCCUACUCCUGUGUGCCUAUAGCAGGCAUGGACAAACUUUAGCCUUCCGGAUGUUUUGGACUUCAACUUCCACAAUUCCUGUUAGGAAUUGAAGCCCAAAACACCUGGAGGAUGUAUGAGAGUCCAGAAGCAGAAGGGACGGGAUUAAAAUAGGAUACCCCUCUAUGAGGUUUGACACAAUCUACAAACUAUAUAUUGUGUACUGUCAUCUUUCAAAAUAAUGAUUGUGUGCUUGUUUUUCAGGGUCUACUGGGCAGCUGCUUAGAGCAAUCAGCUGUACUAGCUUCAUCUUCUUCGCAGUCCAAAUGGCUUUUCAAAUUGCAUUCUACUACCUGCCACCUAACGAUUUCUUAUGGGAGGAAGUGCUGAGCCACAUUGGUUUUCUACGGUUUAGCCGUCUCAGUGCUGGAAACAUCAUACGUCUUUUGUCCCCUGAUGUUGGAAUAUUUGUUAUAAGCCUCACAGUCACACAGCUUUGCAAAAAGAUGGUGAAACACCAGAAGCAGAAACUGCAACAUCAUUCCAGAAGCCAAGAUCUUUUCUGUUAUGAUCAGGAAAGAGACAUGGUGGUGGGAGAUGAAGAAGAGGUGGAAGAAGAAUGGGAGGAGGAAGAGGAGGAAGAGGUAGAGGACAUAGUAGAGAUAUAAAUAUUUGUUCAAUUUCUGGACCUCAUAGCAUAUCGAAAGGUGGUAUAAUGGGAUAAA
rnacentral:lncRNA from 1 species